CAGAGGGUGCAAGCGUUGUUCGGAAUUACUGGGCGUAAAGCGCGCGCAGGCGGAAGUGCAAGUCUCGAGUGAGAUCCCGCCGCUCAACGGCGGGGCUGCUUAGGAUACUGCACCUCUAGGGACCGGUAGAGGCUGGUAGAAUUGCAGGUGUAGCGGUGGAAUGCGUAGAGAUCUGCAAGAAUACCCGUGGCGAAGGCGGCCAGCUGGGCCGGAUCCGACGCUGAGGCGCGAAAGCGUGGGGAGCAAACAGGAUUAGAUACCCUGGUAGUCCACGCCGUAAACGAUGGGCACUAGGUGCCGGGGGGAGCGACCCCGUCGGUGCCGCAGCUAACGCGAUAAGUGCCCCGCCUGGGGAGUACGGCCGCAAGGCUG
rnacentral:rRNA from 1 species